UACGUAGGGUGCAAGCGUUAAUCGGAAUUACUGGGCGUAAAGCGUGCGCAGGCGGUUCUAUAAGACAGAUGUGAAAGCCCCGGGCUCAACCUGGGAAUUGCAUUCGAGACUGCUCUGCUAGGGUGCGGAAGAGGGAAGCGGAAUUUCCGGUGUAGCGGUGAAAUGCGUAGAUAUCGGAAGGAACACCAGUGGCGAAAGCGGCUUCCUGGUCCAGCACCGACGUUCAGGCACGAAAGCGUGGGGAGCAAACAGG
rnacentral:rRNA from 1 species